rnacentral:rRNA from 1 species
CAGUCGCCGCGGGAAUACGGAGGGUGCAAGCGUUAAUCGGAAUUACUGGGCGUAAAGCGCACGCAGGCGGUCUGUCAAGUCAGAUGUGAAAUCCCCGGGCUUAACCUGGGAACUGCAUUUGAAACUGGCAGGCUAGAGUCUUGUAGAGGGGGGUAGAAUUCCAGGUGUAGCGGUGAAAUGCGUAGAGAUCUGGAGGAAUACCGGUGGCGAAGGCGGCCCCCUGGACAAAGACUGACGCUCAGGUGCGAAAGCGUGGGGAGCAAACAGGAUUAGAGACCCCAGUAGUCCCUGUCUCUUAUAC